rnacentral:lncRNA from 1 species
AUGGAGGGGAUCUGUUGCGUGUGGAAUAGGGUCCUUCCAUGGAGGGGAUCUGUUGCGUGUGGAAUAGGGUCCUUCCAUGGAGGGGAUCUGUUGCUUGUGGAAUAGGGUCCUUCCAUGGAGGGGAUCUGUUGCAUGUGGAAUAGGGUCCUUCCAUGGAGGGGAUCUGUUGCGUGUGGAAUAGGGUCCUUCCAUGGAGGGCCGGAUCUGUUGCGUGUGGAAUAGGGUCCUUCCAUGGAGGGGAUCUGUUGCGUGUGGAAUAGGGUCCUUCCAUGGAGGGGAUCUGUUGCAUGUGGAAUAGGGUCCUUCCAUGGAGGGGGAUCAGCUCUGUUGCGUGUGGAAUAGGGUCCUUCCAUGGAGGGGGACCAGCUCUGUUGCGUGUGGAAUAGGGUCCUUCCAUGGAGGGGAAGGGCUCUGUUGCGUGUGGAAUAGGGUCCUUCCAUGGAGGGGAUCUGUUGCUUGUGGAAUAGGGUCCUUCCAUGGAGGGGAUCUGUUGCGUGUGGAAUAGGGUCUUUCCAUGGAGGGGGAUCAGCUCUGUUGCGUGUGGAAUAGGGUCCUUCCAUGGAGGGGAUCUGUUGCGUGUGGAAUAGGGUCCUUCCAUGGAGGGGAUCAGCUCUGUUGCGUGUGGAAUAGGGUCCUUCCAUGGAGGGGAUCUGUUGCGUGUGGAAUAGGGUCCUUCCAUGGAGGGGGAUCAGAUCUGUUGCGUGUGGAAUAGGGUCCUUCCAUGGAGGGGAUCAGCUCUGUUGCGUGUGGAAUAGGGUCCUUCCAUGGAGGGGAUCUGUUGCGUGUGGAAUAGGGUCCUUCCAUGGAGGGGAUCAGCUCUGUUGCGUGUGGAAUAGGGUCCUUCCAUGGAGGGGAUCUGUUGCGUGUGGAAUAGGGUCCUUCCAUGGAGGGGAUCAGAUCUGUUGCGUGUGGAAUAGGGUCCUUCCAUGGAGGGGAUCUGUUGCGUGUGGAAUAGGGUCCUUCCAUGGAGGGGAUCAGCUCUGUUGCGUGUGGAAUAGGGUCCUUCCAUGGAGGGGAUCAGCUCUGUUGCGUGUGGAAUAGGGUCCUUCCAUGGAGGGGAUCUGUUGCGUGUGGAAUAGGGUCCUUCCAUGGAGGGGAUCUGUUGCGUGUGGAAUAGGGUCCUUCCAUGGAGGGGCUCUGUUGCAUGUGGAAUAGGGUCCUUCCAUGGAGGGGAUCUGUUGCAUGUGGAAUAGGGUCCUGGAAUAGGGGAUCUGUUGCAUGUGGAAUAGGGUCCUUCCAUGGAGGGGAUCUGUUGCAUGUGGAAUAGGGUCCUUCCAUGGAGGGGAUCUGUUGCAUGUGGAAUAGGGUCCUUCCAUGGAGGGGAUCUGUUGCUUGUGGAAUAGGGUCCUUCCAUGGAGGGGAUCUGUUGCGUGUGGAAUAGGGUCCUUCCAUGGAGGGGAUCUGUUGCGUGUGGAAUAGGGUCCUUCAAUGGAGGGGAUCUGUUGCUUGUGGAAUAGGGUCCUUCCGUGGAGGGGAUUUGUUGCGUGUGGAAUAGGGUCCUGGAAUAGGGGAGAAUGAGGGGCUGGGGUUGUACUAUAGAUGGUGGGUGGUGUGGAGGGAGGGGAUGGAUGGAGGGGAGAAUGAGGGGCUGGGGUUGUACUAUAGAUGGUGGGUGGUGUGGAGGGAGGGGAUGGAUGGAGGGGAGAAUGAGGGGCUGGGGUUGUACUAUAGAUGGUGGGUGGAGGGAGGGAG